rnacentral:tRNA from 1 species
GGCGGCAUAGCCAAGUAGCAAGGCAGCGGUCUGCAAAACCGCAAUUCCGGGGUGCAAAUCCCCGUGCCGCCU